AUGUCAAAGCUGCCAAAGGCAGGGAUGAUCUCUCUUAUCUUUUCGAGAUACUUGAACAUACUGUCCUCCCGAGCUUCAUAGUUUUCGCUGACUUGUCCCACCACCAAUUGGGAGUCACUGUAGACUUGGAGCCAAUCUACUUCUAAUUCUUUGGUGAUCUUCAGUCCUGCAAUCAGAGCUUCAUAUUUUGCUCUGUUAUUUAUCGCAGAGAAUUCGAAGCACAGCGCGUACUCUAUGAUAAUUCCUUCUAGAUUGAUCAAGAUCAGGCCCGCACCCGUGCCCGACAUGUUGGAGGAACCAUCCACAUAGAGGGCCCAAAAACCAUCAGGGAGAUCUAUUCUUUCCUCAGGGGAGUUCGGCUGGAGCCCUAGAUUGUUAGCUUCACCUCGUUCAAGUUCGGCUUCUUUCGGGAUAGUGCAUUCCACUAUAAAGUUUGCUAAUAUCUAAGCUUUUAUCGUCGGUCAAGUUUGAUAGUUGAUGUCGAAUUUCGUGAGCUCGACUGCCCAUUUCGCUAUCCUUCCGGAAGCAUCUGCUCAAUGCAGAACUGUCUUAAUCGGC
rnacentral:lncRNA from 1 species